AAAUUUCAGAUUGCCCCCAAGUUAUGUGCAAACAGCCCUAUGAGGCCCAGGACAGGGAUGAGUUGACCCUUGACCUCUAUGAUAGAGUUGACAUAGACAAGAAGAUUGAAGGUUGGUAUUAUGGCACGCGUGUCAGUGACCAUGCAAAGGGCUGGUUCCCUGCAAGUUACACACAAGAGGUAGUCAAUGACCAUGUGCUGGCACGCAACCUCAAGCAGCGACACCGACUGCUUUCUCUAUGCGACCAGCACCUCCGGACGGCCAAAAAUGUGAGAAAGUAAGCUCUUGGGGUCACAAGGACAGCCGGAGGUCUCUUGAUGAUUUGGGCCAAACAACACUAACCUACCUUUGACAUGGACAAUUAUUUGGGCAGUUCUGAUGAUAUAGAGAUGAACCUAGUGCCGAGUGCCGGGCUGUACAAAUCAUGUGACAUAUGAGCAACAUCACACAGCUCAAAGUCUCAUGACUUCGCUGUAAUGUGUUCUUUAGAAGUUAAUUUGGAAAAUGCAAUCUCAAUUAAUACUAGUGGUUCUGCUUAGUUUCCUUUACAGUCCCUGGGUAAGGUUGGACAUUCUUGAAUUGUACUUUAUAAUAAUCAUAUGACUGCAGUGAAGAAAUUUAUUUUCAAGUUGAGCAUUUGCUUGAAAGCUUGAUAAUCAAGUAGACAUGUUCCUGGAGGGCAACAAUGCAACUGACAACAACCCUCCCCCCCCAAAAAAAAGAAUUUAGAGAAGCAAUGACAUGUUCAUGUAGGUGAUUGCAGAUGCCCUGACCUACAUGUAAUUAAGAAUUAAAAAAAAAAGCUGCCCGCAUACUGCAGCAUAUAUGAAAGGCCAAUUUGAGUCACAUGACAAGGAUUACAUACCGAGGAUUGAGGUUACGUCUUGUCUCAUGUACAUGUAGCUCCUGUAAUUUUUCAUUACUUGCUGCGUAAGGACAUUUGCUGUAGUUAUCUUUCAUUCAUAUAUACUUCAGUAUCCCUUUUCACCAACGUGCAUCUUCAAUUUGUUGACCAUGUAACAUUUUAUAAUGCCCACUGAGAAGUAAUAAUACAUAAAUCACACGCUAGCACCUGGAUAUGAGUCAGUUGAAUCGGUUCUUAUUGGCCAAGUUUCUGUGUGCAUGUGACAUGCCACGCACUUGCCAAUUCUUUGACUUUCUUUUGGACAACUUGCACAAGGCAUAUACCAUAAAAUCAAUGGUGUGUUCAGGAAAAUAAAAGUAAAAGUUAUGUAACAAAACUCAUUGGAAAUAUGUCAUAUAUGGACUUCUUUUGAUUAUCUGACGAAAAAAGGUAUUUGUGAAUGGGAAUAGAUAUGUGCUUGGAGACUGAACUCUCAUAAUUCCCUUGCCUGCAGCUCAGGCAUUAGUCUUGUCCAUUCUCUUGCAAACACACAUUUAAGACCAGCCAAGCAUUUAUUUACUCCCUUAGUAAAAACCCUGUUUUUGAGACAGAUAAAGCACUUUUGGUUUUACCACUUCACCUCAGAGGGUAUGGGCAGGUCUUCACGUCGUUAAGGGGACAAUUUCUUUUGUAGGACAAACUAAGACAGUUUUUUGGGACAUUUCUCUGUCCACACAUUUUCGGUCCCAACAAAAUCAGUGUAAUAACCACAGAACCAGUAUGUGUAUUAACCUGCAGGGAUUUUCUUGGCCUAAAAUGCAGGUGAUAUCUAAGCAUGUAUUCUUGUGAGUGUCAUGUCUAUUGGAUGCUGUCACUCCUCCCCACACUCGAGCAAUUCCUACCGUCUUUGUACAUCAAGCAAGCUGAAACUACUCCCUGGAGGUUAAAUGUCUGUGGAGUCCUCAAGAGUCUGUGCCAUGGUUAGCUACCGCUGUUGUAAAUAUCACUUGGUGACAUUGUUUGAGAGUUCAGAACAGGGUGAUGCAGUACAAAUGGCUUACAAAUCCAAUGACCACCUGGGUCAGCAUUUGUAAAGUCCAGCUUGUAAAGGACUGUGGUUGUGGUAUCGUGUUAUUUUUAAAAACCAGUACAUUCAACCCAAAAUAAAAUUGUGCAUUCGACUCAAUGCUGUGAAUAAUGCUGUCUGUAAGUGGUAAAAAGUGUAUCAAACACUUGUGGAGGCUGGCAAAAAAUUUAGAAAUUCGACUUUCGUUGUCUCAAAAAUUCAGUGAUACAUGUAUAUUUCUUUGUGUCUGGAAUGUGGUUUGAUAAGUAUAAAGCUGGCAUAAUGAAUGUUUUAACUUGGGUUGGUGGCUUGGAAUAAGAUUUGGAAAACUUUUCAUUGUUCAAAAAGGCAGAUAAUUUCCUUUUCACAUUUUCUAAUCUUUCAUACAGAGAUCUGGCUGUAGUAUUUAACCUUGAUUCAACUGUAAUAUAACUGUAUAUUUGUAAACUAUGUUUUGCGAUAUAUUUAACCAGAUUCUAACUUUUGCCUUGACCUUUAAAGAGCAGAAUAUGUCAUGUGAAUGAUGUCACUUGGCAACUCUAACUUGAGUGUAUUGUGCAAUGGAACUGUUGGCAUUUUGGAAACAUUUUAAGUUGCAGGGGAAUUGUAAAUGGAAACAGAGGAUUGUGCAGAAUAACGAAUUAAGUUACGGCCACAGCCUGGGAAAAAAUUGUGAAGAUAAGCACGUAUGAAAGCCCAUGCCUAGUAGUUACCAUCACUUCUCAUAGACAUCGGUGUUACAGAAAACCAAUUCACUUCUGAAGGACACAUAGCAUCCCCCUAUUAGUUCUCAGUGAAAAGAUGAGAAUAGGCAGGGUCUCCUCUUAUUUUAAAAAAAUCACUAUUUUUGUCAGGGUUUUGUCUUUGCUAUUUGACUUUCAGUCUACAUGCAGAUUUAUUAAAAACAAUACCUAACUACCUACAUGUAUUUUGUAUCCAGCAGUUACUGCAUGUGUAUAUUCUUCACACAUUUAGUUUGAAUUUCAGCUGCAGGUUUUUUUUUUAUGUGAUCUGAUAUUUAUCCAAGAAAUGUGAACAUACAGUAUGUGACUUGCACUGUAAUAAUGACCUCACCAGAACAAUUUUCACAAAUUUUUAAAAAUUAAACAAACAUUCUCAACUCUAGUUACCGACAAGGUACUAUUAUUUAAGAUACAAAAAUUCCAAUAGCUACAUAAAUUUAGUUUCACUGUUAUACAUAAAUUAUUUGUGGAAACUUAUUUUCAAGCAUCAAAUUAUGAAAAUACCGUAUACUUAAUUUAACAAUUACAAUUUUAUUUUCGUCUUUGUGUUUUUUUCUUUUUCUUUAUGUUUGAUCAUGUGUUAUAUAGUUGGGUGUAGGCCAUGGGGUAGACAAUCUAACAUGAAUAUUCAUAAACAAGUAUGCAAAGUCUAAUGUUUAUUGAGUCGUUACUGAAUAUGAUAUUAAUAAACUAAAAAUUGCAUAGUUCA
rnacentral:lncRNA from 1 species